GACGAACGCUGGCGGCGUGCCUAAUACAUGCAAGUCGAACGCCGAAGGAGGAGCUUGCUCUUCUGGGUGAGUUUCGGACGGGUGAGUAACGCGUAGGUAACCUGCCUGGUAGCGGGGGAUAACUAUUGGAAACGAUAGCUAAUACCGCAUAACAGUAGAUGUUGCAUGACAUUUACUUUAAAGGUGCAAUUGCAUCACUACCAAAAGGACCUGCGUUGUAUUAGCUAGUUGGGGGGGUAACGGCUCACCAAGGCGACGAUACAUAGCCGACCUGAGAGGGUGAUCGGCCACACUGGGACUGAGACACGGCCCAGACUCCUACGGGAGGCAGCAGUAGGGAAUCUUCGGCAAUGGACGGAAGUCUGACCGAGCAACGCCGCGUGAGUGAAGAAGGUUUUCGGAUCGUAAAGCUCUGUUGUAAGAGAAGAACGAGUGUGAGAGUGGAAAGUUCACACUGUGACGGUAUCUUACCAGAAAGGGACGGCUAACUACGUG
rnacentral:rRNA from 1 species